GGGGGGGAGGGGUUAUCGCGAGAAGAGCCGCCCCGCGGGAUUUUUUUCUUAAAGGAGCCGCCGUGAAACGGCAGGCGGCAGCGCGGGGGCGUCUCGCGAGGCUUGCGGAUGUUCCCGCGCGCGGCGCAGGCGUUGGGCCGUUAGAGCGCGAGGGAAGCCGUUGGGCGUCUGAGGCGCCAUGAGCGGCGGUGAGGGCAGGCGCUACCCGGGCCGGCGCUGUCGUGUUUACUAACGUUUCACAGCCAACAGAACUGGCUGGGUUGGACCGCUGUUCACAAACUGAUCUCAACCCUUCCGAUCAGCGAAAAGUCAAGCAAGUAGGACAUCCCCUUUCAACAGAGAUUUAGAUUCAGAACUUUAGUCUGCAUCUCAGCCUGAAAUACAAGACAACAACUAGCUUUUGGCAAAUGCCAUAAAAGCAGCCCUUGGGACCGAGCUAGAGAAACAUCCUUCCUAAGAAUAUAUACCCCAGUUCUGACAAGCAUGGGACGUCAUGUCUGAAACAGAGAGCCCUUUCCCUUCCAGAAUAGCCCAGAGGCUCACUGGGACAAGUCACAGAGUGCUUGGCACAGACAAGGACAGCAGUCCUAGUUUGCCACCUUACAAGUGAGUGCUUUAGCCUAAAAUGACUGAUUAUUCCAGACGGGGCUGUUGCAAUUAAUAUGCACUGCAUAUUUGUUACACCAGGACUUUAAUGUUGUUUUCAUACCUCAGUUUACUUCUGAGGAUAAAAGUCUUGCACUGUUUCUCCCCUAUCUCAUUAUUUAGUUUAAAUCAAAUGUGUACCAUUCUUUAAACAACAAAAAAUUGGCUGUGGGAACUUUGCCAAAGUAAGCAAUUUAAAGAUGUUAUCUUUUGGUUGCAGUGAUUUGUUGUUGCUGGUGCUGCAGAUUGAAUCAAAGACUUUGUGGCAAGGUGGUCCCUAUGGGAGGGACCAGUCCUUGGCUCCAAGUGUCCGGGUGAGCUGGCUUCCCCUGUGGGAUAGUGACCUUUUCUGCUCCCCAGAGGUUAUGGAGCCCUCUGAUGGUUGGAUGGUGAUCAGGAGGUUAAAACAAAGCACAGUAAAGCAGGGAGUUCAUUACAAUGCUGUACCUAUUUGGGAAAAUAGCAGAAUUCUGGGAAAAUCUGCAGAUCUGAGCAUGACUUUUGCCAUCAUCCACUAGCAAAAGAUAAGGAAGACUGUAAUUUAGCUGACUAGUUAUAAUAAACCAGCCAAAAACCACUUCCGAUCAAACUAAAGAAGCAAAAGCUUGAAUGAUGCAGAACUCCACAAAUACUUGUGAUCAGCUCACAGCUAUCUUGUGACUAUUGGAUUUACUUCCGAUAUUUCUCUGCUAUGCUCUAGGUACAAGUAAAAUUAGUCUUACAAAUAAGCUUUCACCCUAUAUAAUCAGUAUAAAUAAAGUA